CGGGACGGGUGAGUAAUGUCUGGGGAAACAGCCUGAUGGAGGGGGGUAACUACUGGAAACGGUAGCUAAUACCGCAUAACGUCGCAAGACCAAAGUGGGGGACCGUUCGGGCCUCUUGCCAUCGGAUGUGCCCAGAUGGGAUUAGCUAGUAGGUGGGGUAACGGCUCACCUAGGCGACGAUCCCUAGCUGGUCUGAGAGGAUGACCAGCCACACUGGAACUGAGACACGGUCCAG
rnacentral:rRNA from 1 species